rnacentral:snRNA from 1 species
CCGUUCGGCGGAAGCGUCGU